rnacentral:rRNA from 1 species
UACAGAGGGUGCGAGCGUUAAUCGGAAUUACUGGGCGUAAAGCGUGCGUAGACGGUCAUGUAAGUCGGAUGUGAAAGCCCCGGGCUCAACCUGGGAAUUGCAUUCGAGACUGCAUGGCUUGGGUGCGGAAGAGGGAAGCGGAAUUUCCGGUGUAGCGGUGAAAUGCGUAGAUAUCGGAAGGAACACCAGUGGCGAAGGCGGCUUCCUGGUCCGACACCGACGUUCAGGCACGAAAGCGUGGGGAGCAAACAGG